rnacentral:rRNA from 1 species
UACGUAGGGGCUAGCGUUGUCCGGAAUCAUUGGGCGUAAAGCGCGUGUAGGCGGUUCGGUAAGUCUGCUGUGAAAGUCGGGGGCUCAACCCUCGAAUGCCGGUGGAUACUGUCGGGCUAGAGUACGGAAGAGGCGAGUGGAAUUCCUGGUGUAGCGGUGAAAUGCGCAGAUAUCAGGAGGAACACCAAUUGCGAAGGCAGCUCGCUGGGACGUAACUGACGCUGAGACGCGAAAGCGUGGGGAGCAAACAGG